GAUGAACGCUGGCGGCGUGCCUAAUACAUGCAAGUCGAGCGAACAGAUAAGGAGCUUGCUCCUUUGACGUUAGCGGCGGACGGGUGAGUUACACGUGGAUAACCUACCUAUAAGACUGGGAUAACUUCGGGAAACCGGAGCUAAUACCGGAUAACAUAUUGAACCGCAUGGUUCAAUAGUGAAAGGCGGCUUUGCUGUCACUUAUAGAUGGAUCCGCGCCGUAUUAGCUAGUUGGUAAGGUAACGGCUUACCAAGGCAACGAUACGUAGCCGACCUGAGAGGGUGAUCGGCCACACUGGAACUGAGACACGGUCCAGACUCCUACGGGAGGCAGCAGUAGGGAAUCUUCCGCAAUGGGCGAAAGCCUGACGGAGCAACGCCGCGUGAGUGAUGAAGGUCUUCGGAUCGUAAAACUCUGUUAUCAGGGAAGAACAAAUGUGUAAGAAACUGUGCACAUCUUGACGGUACCUGAUCAGAAAGCCACGGCUAACUACGUG
rnacentral:rRNA from 1 species